rnacentral:rRNA from 1 species
GACGAACGCUGGCGGCGUGCUUAACACAUGCAAGUCGAACGGUGAAGCGCCUUCCUUUUUGGUGGGUGUGGAUGAGUGGCGAACGGGUGAGUAACACGUGAGUAACCUGCCCCCUUCUUCUGGAUAACCGCAUGAAAGUGUGGCUAAUACGGGAUAUUCUGGGUCUGUCGCAUGAUGGGUCUGGGAAAGAUAUUGUUUCGGUGGGGGUGGGCUCGCGGCCUAUCAGCUUGUUGGUGGGGUGAUGGCCUACCAAGGCGGUGACGGGUAGCCGGCCUGAGAGGGUGGACGGUCACACUGGGACUGAGACACGGCCCAGACUCCUACGGGAGGCAGCAGUGGGGAAUAUUGCACAAUGGGCGCAAGCCUGAUGCAGCGACGCCGCGUGAGGGAUGGAGGCCUUCGGGUUGUGAACCUCUUUCGCCAGUGAAGCAGGCCUGCCUCGUUUGUGGGUGGGUUGACGGUAGCUGGAUAAGAAGCGCCGGCUAACUACGUG